rnacentral:misc_RNA from 1 species
UACGGAGGGUGCGAGCGUUAAUCGGAAUUACUGGGCGUAAAGCGCGCGUAGGCGGUUAGAUAAGCCGGAUGUGAAACCCCUGGGCUCAACCUGGGACGUGCAUCCGGAACUGUCUGGCUAGAGUACGGUAGAGGUGAGUGGAAUUUCCUGUGUAGCGGUGAAAUGCGUAGAUAUAGGAAGGAACAUCAGUGGCGAAGGCGGCUCACUGGACUGAUACUGACGCUGAGGUGCGAAAGCGUGGGGAGCAAACAGG